AUAGCCCUGGCGCGAAUUGUUAUCACACUGCAAGUUAACGGCAGCACGGACUUCGGUCUGGUGGCUGACGUGGCGCAACGGGUGAGUAAUACAUCGGAACGUGCCCAGUCGCUGGGGGAUAACGUAGCGAAAGCUACGCUAACUACCGCAUACGAUCUAAGGAUGACAAGCGGGGGAUCGCAAGACCUCGCGCGAUUGGAGCGGCCGAUGGCAGAUUAGGUAGUUGGUAGGGUAAAGGCCUACCAAGCCGACGAUCUGUAGCAUGGAUCUGAGAAGGACGACCAGCCACACAUGGGACUGAGACACGGCCCAGACUCCUACGGGAGGACAGCAGUGGGGAAUUAUUGGACCCAUGGGCGAAAGCCUGAUCCAGCCAUUCCGCGUGCAGGAUGAAGGACCUCGGGUUGUAAACUGCAUUCUGUACGGAACGAAAAGGUCCUGGUUAAUACCUGGGGCUCAUGACGGUACCGUAAGAAUAAGCACCGGCUAACAUACGUGCCAGCAGGCCCAGCGGUAAUACGUAGGGUGCAAAGCGGUUAAUCCGGAAUUACUGGGCCGUAAACGCGUGCGCAGGCGCGGUGAUUGUAAGGACACAGCACGGUGAAACUCCCCCGGGACUCAACCCUUGCCGAACUGGCCUUUUGUGAACUGCAUCGACUGGAAGUACCAGGACAGCAACGGGGCAUGGGAAAUUACCC
rnacentral:rRNA from 1 species